GACGAACGCCGGCGGCGUGCUUAACACAUGCAAGUCGAACGGAAAGGCCCUGCUUUUGUGGGGUGCUCGAGUGGCGAACGGGUGAGUAACACGUGAGUAACCUGCCCUUGACUUUGGGAUAACUUCAGGAAACUGGGGCUAAUACCGGAUAGGAGCUCCUGCUGCAUGGUGGGGGUUGGAAAGUUUCGGCGGUUGGGGAUGGACUCGCGGCUUAUCAGCUUGUUGGUGGGGUAGUGGCUUACCAAGGCUUUGACGGGUAGCCGGCCUGAGAGGGUGACCGGCGACAUUGGUACUGAGAUACGGCCCAGACUCCUACGGGAGGCAGCAGUGGGGAAUAUUGCACAAUGGGCGGAAGCCUGAUGCAGCAACGCCGCGUGCGGGAUGACGGCCUUCGGGUUGUAAACCGCUUUCGCCUGUGACGAAGCGUGAGUGACGGUAAUGGGUAAAGGAGCACCGGCUAACUACGUG
rnacentral:rRNA from 1 species